CCUACGGGAGGCAGCAGUGGGGAAUAUUGGACAAUGGGCGAAAGCCUGAUCCAGCCAUGCCGCGUGUGUGAAGAAGGCCUUCGGGUUGUAAAGCACUUUCAGUGGGGAAGAAAGCCUUGGGGCUAAUACCCUCGAGGAAGGACAUCACCCACAGAAGAAGCACCGGCUAACUCCGUGCCAGCAGCCGCUGUAAUACGGAGGGUGCGAGCGUUAAUCGGAAUUACUGGGCGUAAAGCGCGCGUAGGCGGUCUGAUAAGCCGGUUGUGAAAGCCCCGGGCUCAACCUGGGAACGGCAUCCGGAACUGUCAGGCUAGAGUGCAGGAGAGGAAGGUAGAAGUCCCGGUGUAGCGGUGAAAUGCGUAGAGAUCGGGAGGAAUACCAGUGGCGAAGGCGGCCUUCUGGACUGACACUGACGCUGAGGUGCGAAAGCGUGGGUAGCAAACAGGAUUAGAUACCCCGGUAGUC
rnacentral:rRNA from 1 species